GACAGAGGAUGCAAGCGUUAUCCGGAAUGAUUGGGCGUAAAGCGUCUGUAGGUGGCUUUUUAAGUCCGCCGUCAAAUCCCAGGGCUCAACUCUGGACAGGCGGUGGAAACUACCAAGCUGGAGUACGGUAGGGGCAGAGGGAAUUUCCGGUGGAGCGGUGAAAUGCGUAGAGAUGUGGAGGAACACCGAUGGCGAAGGCAGCCCCCUGGGAUAACACUGACGCUCAGGCACGAAAGCGUGGGGAGCAAACAGG
rnacentral:rRNA from 1 species